UCAAACUUGGUCAUUUAGAGGAAGUAAAAGUCGUAACAAGGUUUCCGUAGGUGAACCUGCGGAAGGAUCAUUAUAGAGAAUCGGGUUCUCUUUCGAGGCCCAUCUCCAAACCUUUGUCUACAAAAUUUUAGUUGCUUUGGUAGGCCAGUUCUUCUGGACGAUCGGUUACUGGUUAACGGAUUCGUGCCUACCGAUAGCCUCUUUUAAAACUCUUGUUUAAUAACCAGUCUGAAUUUUUGAUUAUCAAUCAAACUAAAACUUUCAACAACGGAUCUCUUGGUUCUGGCAUCGAUGAAGAACGCAGC
rnacentral:misc_RNA from 1 species